UGCCAGCCGCCGCGGUAAUACGUAGGGGGCAAGCGUUGUUCGGAUUUACUGGGCGUAAAGGGUGCGUAGGCGGCGCGACAAGUCACUUGUGAAAUCUCCGGGCUUAACUCGGAACGGCCAAGUGAUACUGUUGUGCUAGAGUGCAGGAAGGGCAACUGGAAUUCUUGGUGUAGCGGUGAAAUGCGUAGAUAUCAAGAGGAACACCUGAGGCGAAGGCGAGUUGCUAGACUGACACUGACGCUGAGGCACGAAAGCCAGGGGAGCGAACGGGAUUAGAUA
rnacentral:rRNA from 1 species